rnacentral:rRNA from 1 species
AACGCGAAGAACCUUACCUGGGCUCGAACGGCUUUGGAUCGACGGUGGAAACACUGUUUUCCCGCAAGGGACCGGAGUCGAGGUGCUGCAUGGCUGUCGUCAGCUCGUGUCGUGAGAUGUUGGGUUAAGUCCCGCAACGAGCGCAACCCUUGUCCUGUGUUGCCACUCCCGUAAGGGAAGCACUCUCAGGAGACCGCCAGCGAUAAGUUGGAGGAAGGUGGGGAUGAUGUCAAGUCAUCAUGGCCUUUAUGUCCAGGGCUACACACGUGCUACAAUGGUCGGUACAAAGCGCUGCAAACCCGCGAGGGGGAGCUAAUCGCAAAAAGCCGGCCUCAGUUCGGAUUGCAGGCUGCAACUCGCCUGCAUGAAGCUGGAAUCGCUAGUAAUGCCGUAUCAGAACGAUGGCGUGAAUACGUUCCCGGGCCUUGUA